rnacentral:rRNA from 1 species
GGGCCCGCACAAGCGGUGGAGCAUGUGGUUUAAUUCGAUGAUACGCGAGGAACCUUACCAGGGCUUAAAUGUAGUGGGACAGGUCUAGAGAUAGACCCUUCUUCGGACUCAUUACAAGGUGCUGCAUGGUUGUCGUCAGCUCGUGCCGUGAGGUGUCAGGUUAAGUCCUAUAACGAGCGCAACCCCUAUCGUUAGUUGCCAGCGGGUAAUGCCGGGAACUCUAGAGAAACUGCCUGCGAUGAGCAGGAGGAAGGCGGGGAUGACGUCAAGUCCUCAUGGCCCUUAUGGACUGGGCUACACACGUGCUACAAUGGCGGUGACAAUGGGCAGCGAAGGGCGACCUGGAG